rnacentral:rRNA from 1 species
AUUGAACGCUGACGGCAGGCCUAACACAUGCAAGUCGAACGGUAACAGGAAGAAGCUUGCUUCUUUGCUGACGAGUGGCGGACGGGUGAGUAAUGUCUGGGAAACUGCCUGAUGGAGGGGGAUAACUACUGGAAACGGUAGCUAAUACCGCAUAACGUCGCAAGACCAAAGAGGGGGACCUUCGGGCCUCUUGCCAUCGGAUGUGCCCAGAUGGGAUUAGCUAGUAGGUGGGGUAACGGCUCACCUAGGCGACGAUCCCUAGCUGGUCUGAGAGGAUGACCAGCCACACUGGAACUGAGACACGGUCCAGACUCCUACGGGAGGCAGCAGUGGGGAAUAUUGCACAAUGGGCGCAAGCCUGAUGCAGCCAUGCCGCGUGUAUGAAGAAGGCCUUCGGGUUGUAAAGUACUUUCAGCGGGGAGGAAGGGAGUAAAGUUAAUACCUUUGCUCAUUGACGUUACCCGCAGAAGAAGCACCGGCUAACUCCGUG